rnacentral:rRNA from 1 species
UACGUAGGGGGCAAGCGUUGUCCGGAAUGAUUGGGCGUAAAGGGCGCGUAGGCGGCUUUGUAAGUCUGGAGUGGAAGUCCUAUUUUCAAGGUAGGAAUUGCUUUGGAAACUAUGAAGCUUGAGUGCAGGAGAGGUUAUCGGAAUUCCCGGUGUAGCGGUGAAAUGCGUAGAGAUCGGGAGGAACACCAGUGGCGAAGGCGGGUAACUGGACUGCAACUGACGCUGAGGCGCGAAAGUGUGGGGAGCAAACAGG